rnacentral:rRNA from 1 species
AUGUCGCAAGCGAUGCCGUCGCCGGGUGGCUAUUUCGUGGCGUUGCUGAACAGCAGCUUGGCAGAUCAUGGACGCCUAGGUUGGACAUGGCGAGGUGAGCAGGGCCACAUCGACACGAGACGAAUCAACAAUUGGUUUCAAGAGGAGUCCUGGCACCGUGGCGAUCCUGAGUUGCAGCCGGAGAAUGGCCGUAUUUUUCUCCCUCAGACUUCUGGAAUGGAGGAGCCAGAGAGUUUUUCCUCUGAUGAUUUCUGCACGGCGGUUUUACUUCUAUCACGGGAACUGCUGUGUGGCUCUGCCUACAUCUCUUUCUGCCGUUGGAAUUAUGGUGCCCGGUGUUCAUAUGGGCAGCUUGAGUAUCGGACAAACCUUGGUUUUGAAGGUCUACCAGAAACUGCCUGGGAACAGGAAGCAAUGAGGUUUAUUGUUGCAGGUUCGAGAGGUGAUCUCAUUGCGAUAUUGCCGUCCGACGAUCGGUGGGUAAUUGAAGUAGCUACAUGGCUUGCCAAUCCUAACAAGGUACCUAAAUCAGUAGAAAUAGAGGUGCCGACGCCACCUCUGCCGCUUUGGAAGCCAGAUUCUGACGAUGAAGGAGAAUCGCCACCACGUCCAUCAUCACCUACCAGUAGGAAAGCGAUGGUUUUCCCUUUGAUUAUUCAUGUGAAAGAGGUCUUGGACCGUGGUCCCUUGAUGUCUGAAUUGCCAUCUAAAUAUCUUCCUAACGAAGGCGUGGAUCUAUCUCGAAUCCAUGUGUUCGACACUUGGCGUGGAAAAGUUGAUGGCAGUGGCCCUGAUGAUAAUGGAAAGGCGUAG